GACGAACGCUGUCGGCGCGCCUAACACAUGCAAGUCGAACGGAGUUGCUGAAGCUGAAUUUUUCGGAAGGACGCAUUAGUAACUUAGUGGCGGACGGGUGAGUAACGCGUGAGUAACCUGCCUUUCAGAGGGGGAUAACGUUUGGAAACGAACGCUAAUACCGCAUAACAUAACGAGGUCGCAUGGUUUUGUUAUCAAAGGAGCAAUCCGCUGGAAGAUGGACUCGCGUCCAAUUAGCUAGUUGGUGAGGUAAAGGCCAACCAAGGCGACGAUUGGUAGCCGGACUGAGAGGUCGAACGGCCACAUUGGGACUGAGACACGGCCCAGACUCAUACGGGAGGCAGCAGUGGGGAAUAUUGCACAAUGGGCGCAAGCCUGAUGCAGCAACGCCGCGUGAGCGAAGAAGGCCUUUGGGUCGUAAGGCUCUGUCCUUGGGGAAGAAACAAAUGACGGUACCCUUGGAGGAAGCCCCGGCUAACUACGUGCCAGCAGCCGCCGUAACAC
rnacentral:rRNA from 1 species